rnacentral:misc_RNA from 1 species
GAUGAAGAACGUAGCGAAAUGCGAUAAGUAAUGCGAAUUGCAGAAUUUCCGUGAAUCAUCGAAUCUUUGAACGCACAUUGCGCCCUCUGGCAUUCCGGAGGGCAUGCCUGUUCGAGCGUCACGGAAGCCUAAUCACACUCGCUUGUGUGGUCAUGGCGGCAGUGAGUCCCCCAGCCCAGCUGGCGGUCACGCCGCUGAAACGAAUGGUGCGGAUGAGUUCCCGAUGGCCGAGCGUAGUACUUUGAAAACCGUCGGACAAUCGGAACCUUCCAUCUCGCCCUGACGAUGGACCCCCAUCGUACCCCUCAAAGGUGGACCUCGGAUCAGGUAGGGAUACCCGCUGAACUUAAGCAUAUCAAUAAGCGGAGGA